UCCCUGGUGGCUCAGAUGGUAAAGCGUCUGUCUGCAAUGCAGAAGACCCGGGUUCAGUCCCUGGAUUGGGAA
rnacentral:tRNA from 1 species